GACGAACGCUGGCGGCGUGCUUAACACAUGCAAGUCGAACGGAAAGGCCCGGCUCUUGCGGGGUGCUCGAGUGGCGAACGGGUGAGUGACACGCGAGUAACCCGCCCCUGUCAGUGGGAUAACACCAGGAAACACGGGCUAAUACCGGAGAGAAGAUUCUGCUGCACGGUGGGGGUAGGAAAGAGUCGGCGGUUGGGGAUCGAAUAGCGGCUUACGAGCUGGUUUGGCGGGUAGGGGCUGACCCGGGCUUCGACGGGUAGCCGGCCUGGGAGGUGUACCGGCCACAUUGGGCCUGAGAGACGGCCCAGACUCCUACGGGAGGCAGCAGUGGGGAAUAUUGCACAAUGGGGCGAAGCCUGAUGCAGCAACGCCGCGUGCGGAAUGACGGCCUUCGGGUUGUAAACCGAUGUCGCCUGUGACGAAGCGUGAGUGACGGUAAUGGGUAAAGAAGCACCGGCUAACUACGUG
rnacentral:rRNA from 1 species